AGGAAGAACAUCAUGGAGGAAUGGAGGGGUGGAGGAGAGCUGUUCACCUCAUGAGAGCUGGAGAGCAGAGAAACAGAAAAAGAGCCAAAGAGUGAUGGAGCCAGAUUUCUUCAAUUUCAAGAAUUUAGAAGUGACUUGGCUGGAAGUUUCCGCAUUGGAGACUCUCACAAAGUUGCAUUCAGAUGGUGGUUGGUUCCAAAAACAUUUCAAGGCUUCUUCACUCACUUGUCUGAUGGCUGGGUUGGGGAAGAGGACCAAAGUCACUUCAUGAAAUGAGAUAGACUGUCACAGUCAUCAUUGAAAAAGAGACAGGAGAAUCUCUGAAGAAAUGCUGAAUAAUAACAGAUAGCAAGC